UACAGAGGUCCCGAGCGUUUGUUCGGAUUCACUGGGCGUAAAGGGUGCGUAGGUGGCAUGGUAAGUUUGAUGUGAAAGCUCAGGGCUUAACCCUGAAAUGGCAUUGAAUACUACUGUGCUGGAGGUUUGGAGGGGGGGACUGGAAUUCUUGGUGUAGCAGUGAAAUGCGUAGAUAUCAAGAGGAACACCAGUGGCGAAGGCGAGUCCCUGGACAACACCUGACACUGAGGCACGAAAGCUAGGGGGAGCAAACAGG
rnacentral:rRNA from 1 species